rnacentral:lncRNA from 1 species
GACUAUAAUGCAGUUUGAAUGGUCAAAGGCAAAUAUACAUGGCACAUGGCAAAAAUGUGUGACUUGUCACAUGACAAACUACGCAAUCUUAGCUACAGGGCAAAGGCAAAUUUACAGCUAAGACUGCCCAAAAAGAAAAAAAAAACGCUUGUGUUGGUACAAAAAUAUUACAAAGAAUCGCAACCAAAUACGUUAAAAAGAUUAGGAGUGUGACAAAGCACCGGACUAAAGAAACAUUACACAAGAAAGACACAGUAUGAUGUAAGGCCCUUAUGUGUUUUGAGGAUGUCUUGGUAAAGCACUUCAUGAUACUGCCCAACCAGGGCUUGAAUUUACAAAGAAAAAUGAAGCAAGUUACCAGUCAGCAACUUUUUCAGUAAUGGCACGUGUUUUAAAGCUAUUUUUUUUCCCUCUUAGAAUUCUUUCCAAACCCUUUCAUCUUAACCAUAACCUGGCAAUAAGCAAUUAUAACAAUUAAAAAUAAGCAUGCUCACACUUUUUCCACCUUUUACGCUGCUCAUUUCCAACUCAUUCAACUUACCAUCUACUUAAUCAUAUGUCUAGCAAGCAGAAGCCCAGUAAUUCACCAGCUCCAUGCUACAUGAGCUUAAAUAUAUCUGCAAACUCAAGCCCUGAUUUCCCUGUAAAGCUACAAAUUGUAACGCUAAAUGGCUAGGCAGAGCCCUCAUGCUUUAACCAGUUCCCUCCCAGUCUUGUCAAAGCACUAUCACACCCUGUAGAAGAUGUAGAUUCACAGCACGGGAGUGGAAAAGGUCAAAAAGGCACCAUGUGACCUCAGCUGACUAAGCUACACAGUCUCAAGUUUUUGUUGGUUUUUUUUUUGUCAGACCCCUGGCACUGAUUUUUAUUUGCAAAAGAAAUUAAAAAUAAACAUAAAAAAAAAAAUUACAUAUGGUACAUUCUCAAAACCUGAACAGGAAAACAAACCUAUAUGUAAUGAAUUAGUAAAAUCACUGCAGUUUGCCCUAAAUCUAUCUUACUGUGACUACAAAAAUUGCUACGCUGCAUACAGUGUCGUGAAGUUACACAAGCAGUGUUCAUUUUCCCUCAUAUUUAGGAUUGACCACAGUUGUCACUGCACUCUUGUAAAUAGGAUUUUCACCCGUAUCCCACUUGGCAUUCAUCUUCUCCUUUUCAAAUUUAGCAAAUUCUCUCCUGUCAUGAAUGAUCAUCAGUAGUUUCCAAAUCAAUAACAAUGCAAGUCCAAUAAGAACAAUUCCAGCAACCACGCCAGCUACAAUGGGUAUGAUGUCAGGGCCACUAGGGCAUUCUGGAGUCUCUACCACAUGGACACUGGCUUCACCAUUGGAAUUGACAGAGUAUGUGAAGUAGAACCAGCAGUCAUCAACGUCCUUUUCUUUGCAGUGAGACAGCGGAUCGGGCUGGCCGGGCUGUGGCAAUUUGUCUCGACUUUCUACCCGUGUCAUGUUAAAAUGCAUGCAUUCCUGAGAACACGUUUCCUUUUUUUCUCCCUUCUCAAAAGCUCUGCACUGAACACAGUCCUUGUGCUCUGCACAGACACCAAGGCAAGUCUGACACAUCUCACAUGUGGGGCCUUGGAAUUUGGGAUCUGUGCAAUUACAAGUGCCACAUUCACAAGUUCCUCUUCCGUUGCAUAUCUGUCCGUUCCCUGCCAUGCAUGGAGUGGUAUCCAAAGAACAAUCGCAAGCACUGCCGGUGAAGUUGGGGAAACACUCACACACUCUGCAUUUGCAGAUACCAUUUCCUCCACAAAUCAAACCGUUUGAUCGAUCGCAGUUGAAGUUAUCACAUUCACAAUAUUUGCCAGAAUACACUUCGUUGGUGUUUUCUCUUUUCUUGCAUACGCACUGUCCGCAAAUGCACUCUCCAUUGUUGCUGCAUAUUUCUGUACUGUUCUCCCUUCUGCAGUAAGCAUCCAUAUCCUCACUAUUUACUUCAUCUGUACUACAUUCACAAAGUCUUCCGAUACGUCCUUCAUUACAUCUGCAUGCACCACAUUCAAAUGUCCCAUUUCCGUCGUGGCAGGCAGGGCUGUUAGGUUCUCCUUCGCUUUGACACAGACAGUCACAGAUGAACUGGAGAUGAAUUUCCACUUCUUCAGUGAACCCCAGUGGUUUAAUUUUAAUUGUUUCAUUUUGCCCUUUCUUUGGACAUUCAUUUGCUGUUACGUUAAUCUCAAACCUAACCUCAUCUCCUAUUGAAAUGUUGGAACAUUUUCUUCCAUCUUCCUGCGUGUCAUUCACUCCAUUCUUGCAGUAUGAUUUGUAACUGAUUGUCACUUCUUUUGGUAGCUUACUGUUUUCCAGGAUCACCUCUGAAGAAAGGGAAUUGUAUGCAUCAAUGAUCAACUGAAUGACAUUGCUGGAAUUGGAAGACAACGUUCCCACUGCUGAUUUUGGUAUCAGGUUUUUCAGUUCCUUAUAAACUGCCUGAAACUCCUCAGUAACAGCAAAAAUUGUCUGAAUAUUGUUCUCACUAAGCUUCUGUACCAGAUGAGCAAUAGAGGGAUAAUCGUAAUAGUGGCUCAUUGUGUACAUAUUAUUUUCCAGGUGACAUUUCCCAUCAUUUGGUAAAACAAUUCCACCAAGUUUACCAUCUCCUGCAAAGUGAAAUCCAGCAUCCGUGGAAAACACCAACAGCCGUGUAACAUUUCUCCAUCCAAUCUGGUCCCCACAAACAGCAACUUGCAUUAUUGCAUCAAAUCCACCUUCAGGAGAAUCCAGAUUCCCAGAAAUGUGCUGUUUACCUACAAGCUCAUUGAACUUAUUUCCUUCACUAGUAAGACUGAGCACAUUUUUAUAGCUAAACGGACUCGUACAGUUCUGGUCACCUGUACAAGGAUUUCUCAGUUUGGCUGGUGUUGUACUUAUAUAUGGCAUCACAGUUUUCUCCACAAAAGAGCCAAAUCCAAUUCGAAAAUCUGAGGUUAUUUUUUCCAUUUCACGCAUCAGAGCUGUGCCAAGGCUUUUCACAUUCUCUAAAUCAUCUUUCAUAGAAUAGGAGAGGUCCAUAAGAUAAUAAAGGUCAAUGGGGUAAUCUUCAGCUCUCUUAAAUUUUAAUGAAAAUGUUUGCGGUUCCCCGACUCUUAGUUGCAGUACUAAUUUUUGUGGCUGGAUCUGUGUAAUGGCCUCUGGUUUCAGCUUCUCUGCAGCACCUAUCUUACGAUUUGUUACUUCUCUAUCUUCAAGCACACGUUUGCUACCUCUGGGAUUUUCUAUAUCUUGCUCAGGACAGCCUUUACUCUUCAGCGCUGCCAAGUCAUCGCAUCGGGCAGAUGUUGGUUCUCCUUCUUGCAGAAAGUCUGUUUUUUUACACCAACCACAGUUUGGUCCUGCCUGUAUACAUUCCCCACAUGAUUUUGCGUUGGCUUUUAUGCAGUCACUUCCACCUUGCUGAGCAGAUCCACUCCAUAUCAAGCAACAGAGAAUGCCAGCCCACGUGAGCAAUGUUAAAUUAGUCUCGGCCAUGGCCGCGGCGCCGCUCCUGCCAGGGGGCGCGCUCCGGCCCGCCCGGCUCCGGCUCUGCCCCAGGAGCUGCGCUGGGCACGGCGUGGCCUCGCUCCGCGUCCUUCCGUCCGUCUGCGGGCCGCCCGCUGCCUCCGCGCCGCUCGGGGAUGGGGGAGGGGAAGGGGGAGCCCGGAGCACGGGGCGGUGGAGAAAGGAGGGGAGGGGAAGGUCCGCGUUCAGCCGCGUUUUUGCCCGCCCCGGAAAUACAUUCCUCCCCGCUGCCGUCAAGCCCUGGGCGGGGAGGAGCGCUCCGGGCUGCGGCUUGGGGGUAGGGAGCGAGGGAAGGGCUCUCCGUGGGCAGCGGGGACCCGGCCCGGCCGCCUGUGGUGGCGGCGGCUGUACCGCCCGGAGCGCCGCCCCCGCAGCCCCACACAGCGCCGUGCGCGUCGGCGGGACGGAAAGGGCUCCGCCCGGCGCUGCGCUCUGCGAGGAGCGUCCGUGUCCCCGCUGCCCCCAACCUUCCCUCGGGGCAGCGCCAUCGCCUUAUUUGGUGGGGUCUGAUUAGCCCUCCUGCUGCCGGGCCGCUGGAGCUUCUGCCGUCCGGGCGGUGGCUCUCCCAGCCCCGCAGCCCCCGGGCUGGACGUCCUCUCGUCCCCACGCUUCGCCCGUGUGCUGCGUCCCAAAUGGGUGGGAGGCACCGGCGAGGGGUCGGCGUCACUUCGUGUGCCACGGGAAAAGUGGAACUGCCGGCGUGCCGUGGCUCCAACUUGCUGGUAUUCAGCACGUGCCCCCGCGCUAUGUAGGUUCUUGGAGGACCUUUGUUUUUGGAGGCAAAAUGUCAAAAGAGGUGUGAGCCACGUGAUCACAGCUCACAGUCAACUGCUGUGCCUCUAUAACUAACCUGCUACUUCUGCUUCUUGUUUUGAGAAUCAUAGAAGAUCCCAAGUUGGAAGGGACCCAACGGAGAUCAUUGAGUCCAGCUCCUGGCUCCAGACAGGACCACCCCAAAUCCAAACCCUAAGUCUCAGAAUGUUGUCUGAGAGCUGCAUCCAAACGCUCCUUGAUCUCUGGCACUCAGGGCUGUGCCCACUGCCCUGGGCAGGCUGUUCCAUGCCCACCACCCUCUGGUGCAGAACCAUUCCCUGACCCCCCGCUGCCCCUCCCCUGACACAGCUCCAUGCCGUUCCCUCGGGCCCUGUCGCUGUCACACAGAGCAGAGCUCAGCGCCGCCCCUCCGCUCCCUGUGAGGAGCUGUAGGCUGCCACGCUGUCUCUAACUGAAGGAGCAAUGGGACAAAACGAUUAUCUUUUUUUCCCCCUUUUCCUCUACUUUGUUACUAGCAGCACUUAAAAAAGAAACACAGUAAUUCUGCCAUACGUAGGCACGGCCUGUGCUUUGAAGGCGUGUUCCAAUAGGCAGUGCAGCUGUCCAGGACGCAGUCUCUUACCAUAGCUGCC